GCUGGCGGCGUGCUUAACACAUGCAAGUCGCACGGAAAGGCCCUGCUUGCAGGGUACUCGAGUGGCGAACGGGUGAGUAACACGUGGGUGAUCUGCCCUGCACUUCGGGAUAAGCCUGGGAAACUGGGUCUAAUACCGGAUAGGAGCCAUUUUUAGUGUGAUGGUUGGAAAGUUUUUUCGGUGUAGGGUGAGCUCGCGGCCUAUCAGCUUGUUGGUGGGGUAAUGGCCUACCAAGGCGGCGACGGGUAGCCGGCCUGAGAGGGUGGACGGCCACAUUGGGACUGAGAUACGGCCCAGACUCCUACGGGAGGCAGCAGGGGGGAAUAUUGCACAAUGGGCGCAAGCCUGAUGCAGCGACGCCGCGUGGGGGAUGACGGCCUUCGGGUUGUAAACUCCUUUCGCUAGGGACGAAGCUUUUUGUGACGGUACCUAGAUAAGAAGCACCGGCUAACUACGUG
rnacentral:rRNA from 1 species